AGUCGAGCGGAACGAGUUAUCUGAACCUUCGGGGGACGAUAACGGCGUCAGCGGCGGACGGGUGAGUAAUGCCUAGGAAAUUGCCCUGAUGUGGGGGAUAACCAUUGGAAACGAUGGCUAAUACCGCAUGAUGCCUACGGGCCAAAGAGGGGGACCUUCGGGCCUCUCGCGUCAGGAUAUGCCUAGGUGGGAUUAGCUAGUUGGUGAGGUAAGGGCUCACCAAGGCGACGAUCCCUAGCUGGUCUGAGAGGAUGAUCAGCCACACUGGAACUGAGACACGGUCCAGACUCCUACGGGAGGCAGCAGUGGGGAAUAUUGCACAAUGGGCGCAAGCCUGAUGCAGCCAUGCCGCGUGUAUGAAGAA
rnacentral:rRNA from 1 species